rnacentral:rRNA from 1 species
AAAGGAAUAGACGGGGGCCCGCACAAGCAGUGGAGUAUGUGGUUUAAUUCGAGGCAACGCGAAGAACCUUACCAGGGCUUGACAUCCCUUGAAAAUCCCAGAGAUGGGACUUCUCUUCGGAGCAAGGAGACAGGUGGUGCAUGGUUGUCGUCAGCUCGUGUCGUGAGAUGUUGGGUUAAGUCCCGUAACGAGCGCAACCCCUACUGUCAGUUGCCAGCAUUAAGUUGGGCACUCUGGCGGGACUGCCGGUGAUAAAUCGGAGGAAGGUGGGGAUGACGUCAAAUCAUCAUGCCCCUUAUGUCCUGGGCUACACACGUACUACAAUGGUCGCUACAGAGGGAAGCAAACCCGCGAGGCGGAGCAAAUCCCUAAAGGCGGCCCCAGUUCGGAUUGUAGGCUGAAACUCGCCUACAUGAAGUUGGAAUUGCUAGUAAUUGCAGGUCAGAAUACUGCAGUGAAUACGUUCCCGGGCCUUGUACACACCGCCCGU